rnacentral:rRNA from 1 species
UGCGGUAAAAAAGCUCGUAGUUGGAUUUCUGCUUGAGAUGACAGGUCCACACAAUGUGUGUGCAUCUGGUUCAGCUUAGGCAUCCUCUCGACAGACGUUUCUGCGCUUGAUUGCGUGGAGCGGAUUUCGGGACUUUUACUUUGAGGAAAUUAGAGUGUUCACGGCAGGCUAUCGCCAGAAUACAUUAGCAUGGAAUAAUACUAUAGGAUCUCGGUUCUAUUUUGUUGGUUUCUAGGAUUGAGAUAAUGAUUAAUAGGGACAAUUGGGGGCAUUCGUAUCAACACGUCAGAGGUGGAAUUCUUGGAUUGUGUUGCGACGAACUACUGCGAAAGCAUUUGCCAAGGAUGUUUUCAUUGAUCAAGAACGAAAGUAAGGGGAUCGAAGACGAUUAGAUACCGUCGUAGUCUUUACCAUAAACUAUGCCAACUCGAGAUGGGGCAUCGUUCACUUACGACUUGCUCUGCACCGUAUGAGAUAUCAUUUAGUUUUUGGGUUCCGGGGGGAGUAUGAUCGCAAGAUUGAAACUUAAAGGAAUUGACGGAAGGGCACCACCAGGAGUGGAGCCUGCGGCUUAAUUUGACUCAACACGGGGAAACUCACCAGGUCCAGACAUAAUAAGGAUUGACA